UACGAAGGGUGCAAGCGUUACUCGGAAUUACUGGGCGUAAAGCGUGCGUAGGCGGUUUGUUAAGUCCGUUGUGAAAGCCCUGGGCUCAACCUGGGAAUUGCAGUGGAUACUGGCGAGCUAGAGUCCGGAAGAGGAGAGUGGAAUUCCUGGUGUAGCGGUGAAAUGCGCAGAUAUCAGGAAGAACACCCGUGGCUAAGGCGGCUCUCUAGUACGUGACUGACGCUGAGACGCGAAAGCGUGGGGAGCGAACAGG
rnacentral:rRNA from 1 species